UACGUAGGGUGCGAGCGUUGUCCGGAAUUAUUGGGCGUAAAGAGCUUGUAGGCGGUUUGUCGCGUCUGCUGUGAAAACUCGGGGCUUAACUCCGGGCCUGCAGUGGGUACGGGCAGACUAGAGUGCGGUAGGGGAGACUGGAAUUCCUGGUGUAGCGGUGAAAUGCGCAGAUAUCAGGAGGAACACCGGUGGCGAAGGCGGGUCUCUGGGCCGUAACUGACGCUGAGGAGCGAAAGCGUGGGGAGCGAACAGG
rnacentral:rRNA from 1 species